GGGGUCGUAGCUUAGUUGGUAGAGCACGUCGUUCGCAAUGACGAGGUCGUCGGUUCGAUCCCGAUCGACUCCACCA
rnacentral:tRNA from 1 species